AUGAACGUUGGCGGUGUGCCUAAUACAUGCAAGUCGAACGAAGAUGAUAGCAAUAUUGUCUUAGUGGCGAACGGGUGAGUAACGCGUUGGUGACCUGCCCCGAAGUGGGGGAUAACAGUUCGAAAGGACUGCUAAUACCGCAUACGAUCAAUUGGGUUAGAGACCUGUUGAUCAAAGGAGUAAUUCGCUUCGGGAGGGGCCUGCGUCCCAUCAGCUAGUUGGUAAGGUAAAAGCUUACCAAGGCUAUGACGGGUAGGGGACCUGAGAGGGUGGACCCCCACACUGGCACUGAAACACGGGCCAGACACCUACGGGUGGCAGCAGUAGGGAAUAUUGGACAAUGGGCGAAAGCCUGAUCCAGCAACGCCGCGUGUGCGAUGACGGCCUUCGGGUUGUAAAGCACUUUUAGAGGAGAUGAGAAAGGACAGUAUCCUCUGAAUAAGCCUCGGCGAACUACGU
rnacentral:rRNA from 1 species